GAUCAUUAAAAAAAUACGCCUGGUGAAUAGUUCAAACCAUAGUGAACUAGGAUCCAGUGCUGUAUACAACCACCUGUUUACCUUUACCUCUGUUGCUUCCCUGGAAGAGAAAGGAAUCCACCUCACUGGUGUGUAUUCCUAUCCAGGAAAAUAUAUUCAAAAACUUGUUUUGUAUAAUUGUCUGAUCUAAAAAUUUUAAUAAAAGUUAAAACUUUCAACAACGGAUCUCUAGGUUCUCGCAUCGAUGAAGAACGCAGCGAAAUGCGAUAAGUAGUGUGAAUUGCAGAUUUCAGUGAAUCAUCGAAUCUUUGAACGCACAUUGCGCCCUUUGGUAUUCCGAAGGGCAUGCCUGUCUGAGCGUCAAUAAAAGCAUCAAACUUUGGUUUGGUAUUGGGAGAAGUGGUUUUGCCUCUCUCCUUUAAGUUAUUGGCGAUGCUAUUUAGCUUGUAAAAACGUAGUAGAAAUAUCUCGUUUUAAAGCAACUAGUAGUGUCUGCCAACUGAAUAAUUUAUUUACAAAGCUUGACCUCAGAUCAGGUAGGGAUACCCCCUGAACUUAAGCAUAUCAAUAAGGGGAGGAAAAGAAACCAACAGGGAUUGCCUCAGUAACGGCGAGUGAAGCGGCAAAAGCUCAAAUUUGAAAUCUGGCGUCUUUGACGUCCGAGUUGUAAUUUGUAGAGGUAGCUUUGGGUGUACAGUCAGGUCUAUGUUCCUUGGAACAGGACGUCAUGGAGGGUGAGAAUCCCGUAAAUGGCUUGACCAGUGCCUAUGUAUAGCGCCUUCGACGAGUCGAGUUGUUUGGGAAUGCAGCUCUAAGUGGGUGGUAAAUUCCAUCUAAAGCUAAAUACUGGCGAGAGACCGAUAGCGCACAAGUAGAGUGAUCGAAAGGUGAAAAGCACUCCGGAAGGAGAGUUAAACAGCACGUGAAAUUGUUGAAAGGGAAGCGCUUGAGACCAGACUCAGGUAAAGUUGAUCAACCUCCAUUCUUGGUGGUGCAUUCUUCUUUGCCCGGGCCAGCAACAGUUUUGGCGGUGGUAUAAAGGUUUAGGGAAUGUGGCUCCUCUCGGGGAGUGUUAUAGCCCUAUUCGUAAUGCUGCCUGUCGAGACUGAGGACCGCGCU
rnacentral:rRNA from 1 species